rnacentral:lncRNA from 1 species
CUGGAAUCCCAUUAUGAUCUCAUCCAUAUGCUUUGCAUAGGGGUUUGUUUGUGCAUAAUUUAAAUUUCCAAACAACACAAUAGGGACUCAUUUCAGAAGGAUGGCCUCUAGAAAGUCAGUGCCUAGUUCCAAAUGAAUUUAAUUGAAUUCUAAGGAUCUAUUAUUCAAAUGUCCACUACAUGCUAAGCACCAUACUAGGUAUCAGGGAAACAAAGGCAAAAGGGAAAUUUUCCCUGCCUUCAUGGAGUUUUUAUUCUAGCAGGGAGAAACAAUUUCAACCCCCAGAAGUGAAAUCAGGAUGUCUCUGACAUCAUUUCAGAAGAGAGGCCACAGAUCUGAUAGGAUGGGAUUGGAAGUGUUUAAAUGUGAAACCAGGAAAGACUCUCCUCUUUCUAUUGAAACCCAAACUAGGACACCAGGAGACAUCAUCUUCCUCCUUUCCUUGGUCAAGCCUAGUCAAGCAUCCAUAUUUGGAAGGCAGAUAUUUGGAAAGCAUUUUUGUAAAUGUUUGACAGUGGGAAAAUCAGAGAAGACCCAUAUAAGUAAGAAGAUUGGCCUCAAUAUAAUAAGAAGAGACUUAAAAGAGGCCAAGUGCUUACUGACCACCUGGCUGGCUUUCUUGGUCAAUGAAGGAGGAAAUCAGCUCUAGAUGAAAAGUUACCAUUCAAAUUCCCAAAAUAUGAGAUCCUGGGACUAAGGAAUACCAGAGGAAGCAAAGGAGUAUGUCUUGCAUUAAAGAAGAGCAAGAGGCCAAUGAG